AGAGAACGAGUGCGCAGGAAAGCUGCGUGUGGAAGAGAGCACACCGGAGGGCGAGAGAGAGAGAUUUGUUGUAUAUAUAUUUUCAAUGUUUCUCGAUUGUUUAUCCUUUGUGAAAUAUGAUUACCUCCCAUAUGUUCCAUUUCCAUUAUGUUUGAGUGGUUGUGUGCCCCAAGAUUAUGUAUGCUUUCCAUGUUUGUUCUGGUAAAAGGUUCAUCCAUUUGGUGCUUUGUCACCUCUAUUUGUGAUGCCAAACUUUUAAUUGUUAAAUCUUCUUCUGUUGUGGUUUCAAUUCCGGACGUUAGAUCAGUACUUGUAGAUCAGUACUUGUUGUGUUCACUAAUUCUCACUGUUCUACUUUGUUAUGGUAGUAGCUGAUUUUUAGCCGGUUUAGCUUUGUUAUUGCUCGAUGUAAACAAUUUUUCCAGCUAUAUAGCCUAAUGAUUUAUAAAACUGCCGUUAGAUAAAAUAAAGAUGAUGUGAAAAGUCAUCAAAUAUAAGUUUAGAUGUCUUGUUAAUUUUUACUUAUCGUUAGAGAUACUAUAUUUCUUUUCUUUUUUCGCAUUUAUCUUCGCUUAGUUUCUUAUUAAUCUUUACUACAUAAUUCUCUUUAUUUUUUCACUUUUUUUGAGAAACAUUUGUAUUAUAUAACUGAUUAUGGAAAUUAAAGGGUAGUUGUGUAAUGUGAAAACUCAUCAAAAAAGGUUUCCUGUCAAUUUUUAUUGAUCGUUAGAGUUACUAUAUAUUUUUUUGUUUUUACAUUUAUCGUCACCUAGUUUUAUAAUGGAUCUAUUAGUAUAUAAUUUCUCUUUGUUUUCUUCUAACUUUUCUCGACGAAGUUUUGUAUUAUAUUACUGAUUAUGGAAACUUAAGUGUAGUUGUAUUAGGUAAAAAUUCAUCAAACAUAGCAUCUUGUCAAUUUUCACUGUUCAUUAGAGAUAAUAUGUUUGCUUUAUUUUCACAUUUAUCUCAUUCUAAUUGAUUUACUAGUACAUAUUUAAAAAAAAAAAAAUUAAGAGAAAUUUUGUUUUAUGUGAUUUGAUUAUGAAAGCUAAAGUGUAGUUGUAUAAUGUGACACAUCGAGUAUCUUAACCUGUCAAUUUUUAUUGAUCAUUAGAGGUAUAAAUACAAUGUUUGUUUUGUUUUCAUACAUCUUUUCACUUAGUUUUCUAAUUGAUCUACUAAUACUAAAUAUUUCUCUCUCUUUUCAGUUUUUUUUCUCUAUCUAAAAGUUUAAGAUAAAAACAUUAUUAAAUAGUAACUGGAAAUAAUUAUUUAAUGAUAACUAGAAAUAAUUAAUUGAUAGUAAUUUUGUUUUCUGUUUUUUUAAUCCUAAACAAAGAUAAUAAUUCUAUAUAUUAUGUAAUAGUAAUUUUUCUUUUCUAAAAUUCUGACCGAAUUUUUUUUGAAAUAAUCUAUUUGAAGUAAUUUUUUAAAAGAAAUAUUAAAUUUCCACUGUUAUUGAAGUGAUUCCUGAUCCGAUCUUGAAGAGGGACGAUACGAAUAUAUUGUACACGUGUAAGAUAUCGUAUGUGGAUGCGAUCUUGGGGACGACUCUGAAGGUUCCGACGGUUGAUGGGACGGUGGAUUUGAAAGUACCCGCGGGGACGCAGCCGAGCACGACGCUGGUGAUGGCAAAGAAGGGAGUUCCGGUGUUGAACAAGAGUAAGAUGAGAGGGGAUCAGUUGGUGAGAGUGCAGGUUGAGAUACCGAAGAGGUUGAGUAAGGAGGAGAAGAAACUUGUUGAGGAGCUUGCUGAUAUGAGCAAGAACAAGGUAGCUAAUAGCAGGAGAUAAAAAGAUUCAUCAUCAUCAUCAUCAUCAUCAUCAUCCUCUGCUUUGUCAUCUUUCUAUUGGUUCUUCUAGUGAUGAAGAAGAAAAGACUUACUAGGUGAGAGGAAAAUUGAAGAAGACUUUCUUUGGUUUUUUCCUCUAUAAUUUUUGUUUUUUUGUCUUGCUUAUACUUUUUAAAAACAGGCUUUCAUGGUGGGAUUGAUCAGGGCUCAGAAUAGGUCUUGUUUGUAUUUGUACUGCUAUUCAUAUAUUUUAAUCUUCUUCUUUUUUUGAUUGAUGAGUAAUUUAUAUCAAACACAAACAAAUGUACCAAAGAUCAUACAAAUAAAAAAAAUGAAAAGUAGUUUUAUUGAAGCUGCAUUGACAAUGGUUUGAAGCAGAGGGUUUCCACAUCGUUCAGUCUAACGAACAAAGACAAAAACAAACACCCUAAACUCCUUUAGGGGACAAAGCAAGCUGUAUUAACAAAAUUUAACAGUUGGAUUUAAAAAGAACGCGUUUUGGCUACGACUCCCAACUUUUUGAGAUAUAAAAAUAUAGCCGUUACGGGUUGCACAAAAAAUAAUAAUAUAGCCGUUACGUGCUGCUCUAUAAAUAUACACACACACAACACAACCAAAUUCGAAACACAACUAUAAUCAGACAAACAAACCCAACCAUUAUCCAUGUGUCCGACCAACGCCUCACAAAUCUCCAACCUCCUCCACUAAAACUCUCUCUGUAUCCCGUUUCUGUGCAAAGCCCAAAGACCAAACCGGUUUCGAAAAAUCGAUCAAAGACUGUCUCCAAUUCCCCGUCCGGAGAAUCACUCGUUGACUCGGUGGUGGUGGAGCUCCAGUUUACAUGGCCGCCGCCGUCCUCCUCCAGUACCUCACUGCUGCUGAAGUAAGUCUCUCUCUCUCGAUCCAGAUCUGAUUUUGUUUUAGAGCUAUAGCGAAAAUCAUUGUCUGGUUUUUUAAAAUUUGUGAUUCAGGUGUUAGAGCUUGCUGCCAAAAAAAAGCAAAAAGUCGACUAUCAUUUCCAGGCAUCACUUUUUAAUGGCGACUAGAAACGAUGAAGAGUUGGGAUAAGCUUCUCCCCGCGCGGGAGAGGGCGCCGGGGAGAGGGGAGAGGGAGCGCGGAGGGAGAGGGGAGAGGGCGCUCGCACGCGGGGAGAGGGCGCUCGCGCGCGGAAGAGAGAGGGCGCGGAGGAGAGAGGGCGCCCGCGCGGGGGAGAGAGCGGGAAGAGGAGAUAGGAGAGGACAGGAAAGAGAGAGAGCGGGUGGGAGAGAACGAGUGCGCAGGAAAGCUGCGUGUGGAAGAGAGCACACCGGAGGGCGAGAGAGAGAGAUUUGUUGUAUAUAUAUUUUCAAUGUUUCUCGAUUGUUUAUCCUUUGUGAAAUAUGAUUACCUCCCAUAUGUUCCAUUUCCAUUAUGUUUGAGUGGUUGUGUGCCCCAAGAUUAUGUAUGCUUUCCAUGUUUGUUCUGGUAAAAGGUUCAUCCAUUUGGUGCUUUGUCACCUCUAUUUGUGAUGCC
rnacentral:lncRNA from 1 species